GCGCCAAAUGCAGCGCCGCGUGGGCCUCAGUCGCCAUCUUCGUGCGAUCCAGGGAGCUCGUGUCUGUGCUGCGUCUGACGUCUUGUUGAUACGGCUCAAGAUGAGCAGAAUGAAGGUCAAUCUCGAAGUCCCAGUCAGAGCUCAAGGCCUGUGAGGCAGGACUUCAUUCCUUGAUGAAUGCGGCUCAACUGCUAACAGGAUAAAAAGACACGGACCAGGGUUGGACGCUUUUUAGAAUUUCCUCUCGUGAGGCACAACGACGUGUCCGCGAAUGA